rnacentral:tRNA from 1 species
GUAAGUAUAGUUUAACCAAGACAUCAGAUUGUGAUUCUGAAAAUAGGGGUUAAACCCCCCUUACUCACC